rnacentral:rRNA from 1 species
CCUGGCUCAGGACGAACGCUGGCGGCGCGCCUAACACAUGCAAGUCGAACGAGCGAGAGAGAGCUUGCUUUCUCGAGCGAGUGGCGAACGGGUGAGUAACGCGUGAGGAACCUGCCUCAAAGAGGGGGACAACAGUUGGAAACGACUGCUAAUACCGCAUAAGCCCACGGGUCGGCAUCGACCAGAGGGAAAAGGAGCAAUCCGCUUUGAGAUGGCCUCGCGUCCGAUUAGCUAGUUGGUGAGGUAACGGCCCACCAAGGCAACGAUCGGUAGCCGGACUGAGAGGUUGAACGGCCACAUUGGGACUGAGACACGGCCCAGACUCCUACGGGAGGCAGCAGUGGGGAAUAUUGCACAAUGGGGGAAACCCUGAUGCAGCGACGCCGCGUGGAGGAAGAAGGUCUUCGGAUUGUAAACUCCUGUUGUUGGGGAAGAUAAUGACGGUACCCAACAAGGAAGUGACGGCUAACUACGUGCCAGCAGCCGCGGUAAAACGUAGGUCACAAGCGUUGUCCGGAAUUACUGGGUGUAAAGGGAGCGCAGGCGGGAAGACAAGUUGGAAGUGAAAUCUAUGGGCUCAACCCAUAAACUGCUUUCAAAACUGUUUUUCUUGAGUAGUGCAGAGGUAGGCGGAAUUCCCGGUGUAGCGGUGGAAUGCGUAGAUAUCGGGAGGAACACCAGUGGCGAAGGCGGCCUACUGGGCACCAACUGACGCUGAGGCUCGAAAGUGUGGGUAGCAAACAGGAUUAGAUACCCUGGUAGUCCACACCGUAAACGAUGAUUACUAGGUGUUGGAGGAUUGACCCCUUCAGUGCCGCAGUUAACACAAUAAGUAAUCCACCUGGGGAGUACGACCGCAAGGUUGAAACUCAAAGGAAUUGACGGGGGCCCGCACAAGCAGUGGAGUAUGUGGUUUAAUUCGACGCAACGCGAAGAACCUUACCAAGUCUUGACAUCCCUUGACAGGCAUAGAAAUAUGUUUUCUCUUCGGAGCAAGGAGACAGGUGGUGCAUGGUUGUCGUCAGCUCGUGUCGUGAGAUGUUGGGUUAAGUCCCGCAACGAGCGCAACCCUUAUGGUCAGUUACUACGCAAGAGGACUCUGGCCAGACUGCCGUUGACAAAACGGAGGAAGGUGGGGAUGACGUCAAAUCAUCAUGCCCUUUAUGACUUGGGCUACACACGUACUACAAUGGCGUUAAACAAAGAGAAGCAAGACCGCGAGGUGGAGCAAAACUCAGAAACAACGUCCCAGUUCGGACUGCAGGCUGCAACUCGCCUGCACGAAGUCGGAAUUGCUAGUAAUCGUGGAUCAGCAUGCCACGGUGAAUACGUUCCCGGGCCUUGUACACACCGCC